rnacentral:rRNA from 1 species
AUUGAACGCUGGCGGCAGGCCUAACACAUGCAAGUCGAACGAGUGGCGGACGGGUGAGUAAUGUCUGGGAAACUGCCCGAUGGAGGGGGAUCACUACUGGAAACGGUAGCUAAUAACCCCUACUCUCCGAUGUACCCAGAUGGGAUUAGCUGGUUGGUGGGGUAAAGGCUCACUUAGGCGACGACCCCUAGCUGGUCUGAGAGGAGGACCAGCAAAACGGGAACGGAGACACGGUCCAGACUCCUACGGGAGGCAGCAGGGGGGAAGAUUGCACAAUGGGCGAAAGCCUGAUGCAGCCAUGCCGGGUGUAUGAAGAAGGCCUUGGGGUUGUAAAGUACUUUAAUCGGGGAGGCGUUACUCGCAGAAGAAGCAACGGCUAACUCCGUGCCAGCAGCCGCGGUAAUUC